rnacentral:sRNA from 1 species
CCAGAACCAGCGUGAGUCGAGGAUAGCCU